UGACUAGAAUGUUCUUUUAGAGAAAUUGCUGAAUACAAACAAUUCGGAAUGUAUCCAAAGAUAUUUCCCUGCAUAAAAGGUUCAAUUCAAUACACAUAAACAAAAUUAUAAGGAGAACUGCACAGGACAAAUAGAUAUGAAAACUUCUAGUAAUACCUCAACCCGAAAUUGAGAAUACCAUUCUAGGAAUUUCAGUUUGAAAAUGGUUAUUUCAAUGUCGGGUAUAUUCUUCAUUUCUACAUAAAAUCAAUGAGUACCUAUGCAAUGCUGAACCUACCUAGAAACUGUCAAAUUGUCCAGCAAUGAAAUAAUACGGUACACAAAAGAGUACCGAAUAACCUUUAUUUACAACUGAUGUUUAUCUGAUGUGACAAUGAAAUCUUGAAAUAACUCUAAUAAAUUCACACGAAAUCACCUCUUGUUAACUUUUAAAGUAUUAUUCUCAAGCAGUAGCACAAUACCGAAUCUUAGAUAGGUUCUGAACUACCCAAAUUUUGUAUUAUAUGAAAUAUGUUAAAAACAAGGUAAUUUGCCAGCCAUCAUUACAUCCGAAUCGAUUUUUUCAAUAACAGAUAUCUACUUUUUCUCAAACUUACGAACCUUCGGUCCGAAAUAAUUAAUUGACUAUUGCAUCCAAUCCGAAACCUUCCAUGAGGAAUACAUUUUUUCAUUCG